AACCUUAUGGACCUGCGGGCGUAUACCUGCGGAAGGAUCAUUAUUGAAUUUUAAUGAAGAGUCUGGUUGUAGCUGGUCCAUUUAAUUGGGCAUGUGCACACCUUUCUCUUUCAUCCAUACACACCUGUGAACCUGUGAGACAGAUGGGAAAUUUUUGCUUAUUUAUUUUUUGAAAUACAAAGAUAAGUGAGUGAUUUGGACCCCUCUGUCUACUCAAUUCAAUAUAAACUCAAUUUAUUC
rnacentral:misc_RNA from 1 species